GGGACAGUAGCCAGCCUGAGUCAGGCCU
rnacentral:piRNA from 1 species